UACGUAGGGGGCAAGCGUUGUUCGGAAUCACUGGGCGUAAAGGGCGCGUAGGCGGCCGAUCAAGUCGGGGGUGAAAGCCUGUGGCUCAACCACAGAAUUGCCUUCGAUACUGUUUGGCUUGAGACCGGAAGAGGUUAGUGGAACUGCGAGUGUAGAGGUGAAAUUCGUAGAUAUUCGCAAGAACACCAGUGGCGAAGGCGGCUGACUGGUCCGGUUCUGACGCUGAGGCGCGAAAGCGUGGGGAGCAAACAGG
rnacentral:rRNA from 1 species